ensembl:lncRNA
CACGCACGGCGUGAGGAGGGGAAGGGCAGCGGAAACGGGACAGGCACCACGCGAGGCGGGCGGUGGCUCGGGUGACGGUGGCCGCCGAGGAGCAAACUAGGAGCGGAGCUGGGCGGGGGGCCUGAGGUGGGUUUGGAGGCGGGCCCGGCUCGAAGGCUAAGGGGAAGGCCGAGGGCGGGGUUGGGGCGGGGUGGGGCCAAGCCCCUCCUCUUCUACAAAUAUGCUACCAGCUCCCACCCCGACCCCCCUAGUUCCUUCAUUAUUUCUUCUAUUGCCAAGACCCACCUGUUUGGAAAUCAGUCCUGAAUAUUCAUUGGAAGGAUUGAUGCUGAAGCUGAAACUCUUAAUACUUUGGCCACCUGAUGCAAAGAACCGACUCGUUGGAAAAGACCCUGAUGAAAGAUUGAAGGCGGGAGGAGAAGGGGAUGACAGAGGAUGAGAUGGUUGGAUGGCAUCAACGACGCAAGAUUGAAGGCGGGAGAAGGGGAUGACAGAGGAUGAGAUGGUUGAAUGGCAUCAACGACGCAAUGGAUAUGAGUUUGAGCAGGCUUCGGCAGCUGGUGAUGGAUAGGGGAGCCUGGUGUGCUGCAGUCCAUGGGGUCGCAAAAAGUCGGACACGACUGAGCGACGAUUGAGCGACUGAACCGAGUGACUGACUUACCUGUUUCUCACUUCUCUGUCCUCACUGCUCCUGGGAUGCUCCGGUGCGCUCUCACCUCCAGGCGUUUGCACGGGCUGUAACCUUGCCCUGGUGCACCGUUGCCUAGAUACCCACAUGGCUUUCUUCCCCCACACCUUUCAAGUCUGUUCAAAUGUCCACCUAUUGAGGCAUGUUCCGCAACAGCGCUUAGGUCCAUAUGAUAAACUGUAGGGUCAGUUCCACAACAAAAUGGAUUUUUGUAUCUUGUUCCCAUCUGGACUCACAACAGGGCCUGGCACACAAGCUUUACAUAAACAUUCUUCGAAUGCAUGCAGACAGAAGACCCAUUCCUGGAUCAAGGAGGCCUGCUCUCCCAUGCCUCAGUGUGACACUUGGCAUAAAAGACUCUGAGCGAGGUGUGGCCUUGUUUCCAUGAUGCCUCAGGGUGAGGAGAGGGCAAAAAACCUACCCCUCCUCUCAAAAUUAAUCAGGCCAGGAUCAUUUCUGAAGUUAGUUUCAGGACAAUUAUAUGCUUAUUUCCUUACCCACUAGACAAACAUUCAUGAAACUCCUGUUGCAUGCCAGACUCUGCUGGGGUGCAAGGACAUAGCAGAGGAAACCACAGACAGGAAAUGAAAGUGGUUUUCUGAAAUACUCCAUGACUGGAGGACACAGAGCAGGCUGCAGACGCCCCAGCCCCACGGGACUGAGCCAGGGGAUGAGCCCCUAGGGUACCCUUGGCUCUGCCUGGAGAGACAGAACUUCCCACAGGACAGGACCUUAGAGCCAGGACUUUGAGUAAUGAAUAGGAGUUAGAUGGAGGUGGGAUUCCUGCUGAGAGUUGGGAGUAUUGGAGCCAGAGUGUCAAAGAAUUACAAAUUGGAACCUGUGCAUAAAGGGUCUUAAAUGUCAAGAGGCAGGGAAUAGGGACUUGUCUGCCAGCCACCAUCUUGCACCCCUCAAAGCUCAGAGGUGAUUCCGAGGCAUUCCUGCUCUGACCACCAGAGAGCGCCCCAGCCCUGUUGCUGGGAAACAAGCCCUGUUGCUGGGGUAAAAGACACCCCCCUCCCCAAUUUGCCUCCACCCAACCCUCCCCUGAGGGGUAUAGGGAGGGGCCCUUUGCUUCAGACCUUUACUGCCUAGCUCCUGACUUGUUUCACACCAGAC